UCAGAACGGUGCGUCGGUGCCUGCUUUU
rnacentral:piRNA from 1 species